rnacentral:tRNA from 1 species
CAUUAGAUGGCUGAAAGUAAGCGAUGAAAUUUUAAAUCAUUUUAAAAUAUAGUUACGUAUAUUUCUAAUGA